UCUUCCGAAGGCUAGGAGGUAGCGUAUGCCAGGCUGGGUAACCGAAAAGGUCGUAAAAGUUACUGGAUAAGGGACGGCGCUCCCGGCCUAGAGGAGAGAAGAGCAGGCCAGCAGGCGGGUGCGGCCGCCCUGUUAGAAAGGAAGUACAGACAUACCGGGAAGCUUCCAAGACUACGCCCCUUGUCGCUUCGGAAAUGGCGCGGUCCAACCGCGUCAAUCUUUUCGCCGUUACGGCGCGACUCGAGGCCGCGAUUCUGCCUCCGAGGUCACCACCUGCCUGGGUCACCACCUGCCUGGGUCCCUUUGCCUUCCAGCCUCCGGACGUUGAUCUCUCCAGGGAGGGGCUGGACGGGGCUAAAUUGGGAGAGGUGAGUGAUCAUAACCCCUCUUUCCAAACCAAACCAUAUGCGGCUAAACAAAUAAAAACGCGCCCUGCAAUGGA